rnacentral:rRNA from 1 species
AUGAAGAUUGAUUCCUCGCUCCCGGCGAACUGGACAAGAAAGGCAGGCAGGCAGCAGCAAGCGGUUGCGUGGAGGAGGCGGCGGCGGAAAGGGAAAAGAAAUCGCGGGAGCGCCUUGCGGGAAGCGGCCGGGCGGCGGCUAGAAACCCCGAGGCUCCUCUUGGGAGUUGGAGGGAGGAGGAAGAAAGCGGGGGUGAUUGGUGGGGAGGAGACGCACUGGCCGACGAGACGAGAGUCACCGGGCGUGCUGGUCUCGGUGGGGGUGGGAUGGCGACGUGCUCGCGCUUUGAUCGGCAGCCGCUUAUUACACAAGUUGCGUCUUUUUCCGCUUUGUUUAGUGAUCUCAUCUCAUCUGAUCAGAUUAGCGGCAGUAAAUACGUAUGAAUUAAACGAACGGAGGGAAGGGCGGGCGGUGUGGCGACGGGGAUUGCGCCACCUGCUGCCUGCUGCGACCUGGUCGUCUCUUCUCGGAUGGAGGAUGCGGGGAGAAGGGAACGGGGGCGGCGGCGCACCGUUGGAGUUUUCCGCUCGCCGGUUAAACGGCGGGAGAUGGAUGGAUGGCUCAUUUUUGGUGUUCAGCCAUUUUGCCUCGUUUGCACGGGCAAGGUGCGGUGGUGCACUGUGUACUACUACUAGUACAAUGGCGCGUGGCUUCACCGGAGUUACCGCAGAUUGGGAGGAGGGCGCCUUUAGCGGGACAGUUCCAGGGAGUGCGGAGCGGCGAGGCUCGGAGGGCGGCAUUGCGUCGGGAGGUGGAAGAAGCAGAUCGGGGCCAUUCAUUUCACAUCCAACGGCCUAG